CAUGAUCCAAGGAAGUCUCCCUCUUUGCAAUAAGAUGAGAACCAAUGUUGUUGUUCCUUUGGAUCUGCAGAUUGAGAUUCUUAGCCGGUUGCCUUCAAAAUCCCUAGUUAGGUUUAUGCUCGUAUCUAAAUCAUGGCAAGAAAUCAUCAGCAGCAAGAGUUUCAUCAGAUUAAGAUCUUUGACUUGGCCUUUGCGUUUCCUGCUCGUUUUAAAGGAAUUCGACUACCAAAAGGGACGCCUAACCUUCAACUUCUUCUCUUCAUCUUCUCUAUCGUUGUCAUCAACAUCAAUAUCAACCACUUUUCUAUCCAAAAUAACUUUUCCUCUCCGUCAAGCCGGGCAUCCUAUAUAUUACGUUAAUGGUCUGAUAAACAUUGGUGAUAUCAUAUGCAACCCUUGCACCGGAAAGACCGUAUCUUUACCAAAGCUUGCCGCUAGUGGAGGAAGUAUAGGCAGACGCUUUUUCGGAUAUGAUCCUGUCAAUAAUCAGUACAAAGUAUUGUGUAUCACCCACCAUAAUCUUGGAGGACACGCAACGCUGCAGUUUAAUCGCUAUCAUGUAUUCACAUUAGGAGCUAAACCUAAAAAAUGGAGAUUUAUCGAUUGUGGCAUUCCUCACACAGAUUGGUCUAGCUGUCUGUGUAUUGAUGGGUUUGUGUACUACAUUGCGAGCACAGACGCAGGAUUGAUGUGUCUGAUGAAAUUCGAUUUGAGCUCUGAGAAGUUGAAUAUCUUUGCUAGAGCCUCUGAGGAAAUGAAAGCUUCGUUUUCACAUUUCAACAGUUAUAAAACUUUGAUAAACUACCAUGGCAAAGUAGCCAUAGCCAUUCAACGUUCUCACUUAGUGCCGUCAAUUGAUUUGUUCGUUUUCGAAGAAGGAAAACAGGAGUACAAAGCGAAGUCUUUCAAUAAUCUUCCCCGGCUUAAUUUACGUACGAAAUGUGUUAUUAAUCAUAUGGAUGAUACUAUUUUUGCACCUGUCUAUUCCGAAAGUGAGGCUACUAUUAUCCACCACGAUUUCAAGGGACACAGUUUUAAGAAGAUGAAGUUUGAAGUUGAUGUAAAGAAAGAUUGGUUUCAUGAAACAAACUAUUUUGUGGGUUACGUAGAGAGUCUCAUGAUGAUUUAAGCUAGGUAGAGUUUAUUAUUUCCCUCGUUUGUUGUGGGACACUAAAGUUGAUGUCUCUUAUCUCAACAUGUUUUUUUUCUCUUUUGGUUGCUUUCACUCUUCCUACCGGCUACAGAUAUUAUUAUUCUAUUUAUUCGAUAUAUAUAUUGUUGCGAGCACGGACACAUCAGUGUGUCUGACGCGUGAUAUUCGAUUUGAACUAUGAAAAGUUUGACUAUCUUUGCGAGGACGGACACACAGGCUGCGGACACAUCAGUGUGUAAUAUUUGUAGCAUGGCAAAGUAGCUAUAGCAUUCUACCAUGGUUUGAUUACUUGAUUAGAUUUUAUAUAGGGGGUGUAACGAUGUAUUAGAAAAGUCAACAGUAGCAUCUUUAUAUAAGGAGUUCAAGUUCUGUCUAAAUCAAAUUUGAAGACUUGAAUUGCACUCAAAAUCAAAAUUGCACUUAGGCGAAGGACCUAUGGUAAUUGAUAAUGGGCUUGGCCCAAAUAAACGGCUAAAAAGCCUUUCUUGUUUUCCUCUCAUUAUAAAUACCAGUGUGCCAUCUUCAGACCAAAGUUUCUGUUUUCUUUGGUCGGGGUUCUCUAGAGAGAGAGAGAUUCUUUCGUCUUGUUGAAGAACAAACCCGACAUUCAAAAAAGAAAAAAGAGAGACACAAACACUAUACACAGAAAGAAAGAGAAGGUAUAUAGAUAGUAUACAUACUCAUCACCAACACAUGGAGAUUUAUAGAGAGAGAUGUCUCUCACUUUCUUCGUUGUAUUUCACCAUUCUCUCUCUCUCCUCCAAGAUCUUCCAAUCUCCCUUCAUAUCUUGUUUUUUUUUUAUGAUUUUCAAUUUUCAAAAACAAAACUGUUUCCAAGAGCACCGUUAGUUUUCUAUUUUCCCACGAGCUGACAGUGAAUUUUCGUUGUUUUUAGCAAAAUUUUGAUCCGAACGAUGCUCGAGAGAGCUAAUUUACGAUUUGUUUCUAUCUGAAUUUCCUCAAAGAUUUUGUUUUUCUUACUUCCUCUUGCGCCAAUUGCACUAAGCAAUCCUCGGGGUUUGUGAUUUUGUGUUCCGAUUGGUUUUUAAAUUUUUUAGGGUUUGAUUGGAUCGGAUCCUCGAAUUGGACUUUGAUUUGGUUUUAUUACUACUAGGAUCGUCCCUCGGAGGUUAAAGACUUGUCGGGGAUUGUUGGAUUGUAACGGAAUAAAGUGAAAUCUGUCGGGAAUUUUGUUCACAUUCUGUCGGAAAGAGGUUGUCGGCUGGCUAUAAGGUGCUUUGAGAUGCUCAUAUCUUAAUCUGAUGGGCUAUUGGGUGAUGGUAAAGAAAGUUUGGGAGCUUUUAAAGUGAGAUUUUGUUGGAUAUGGUGGGCUGGAUCAUAGUCUCUGAUCUGGUUAGGUGCCACUGGGAUAAAAGAUCUAGAAAGUAACUGAAGUGGUUUAAAGUAUUACCACUUUAAGAAAACUUGAGAGGGGGAUAAAAGUGCCAAUGUCUCGUUGCUUCCCGUUUCCACCACCAGGAUAUGAGAAGAAGGUUAGAACCGAGGAGGCAGACUCUUUAAUAAAGGUUAAACUCAUAGAAUCUACUACUCUCCUUUGAAAUAGUGAUAGUGAUCUUUCUAAGGUCGUAGAUUGAAAUCUGCAGGAAAGGCAGAAGAAGGAAAAGAAGCACAGAAAGGAUAAAAAGGAUAAAGAAACAAGCAGAGAUAGAUAUAAGGAAGGGAAGGAGAGAAAAGAGAAACAUAGAGAUAAGAAAGACAAAGAAAAGAGCACGACUUCUCAGGACAAAAAUAAUGGUAAUGAGGAGUCUAAGUUUGUACAGGACCUGGCAAGAAGGAUUAGCAAUGAAGAAGAAGAAGCUAGAGAGAGUCAAAGUGUGGGGAAGAGUAGUUUUCCCUGUGGAGUUACAGAGAAUUUUCCCAUGGGAAAAAGGUCUGAAAGUGCGGUUGGUCGAGUAUCCUCUUGGAGAGAUCCGAAAGGAACUGAGAUUAUGGUUCAACCAGUGGGGAAAAAAGAGCUACAAGAGCUGAAUCACCUCAAGCAAAGUGUGACUAAGGGUGAUAAGUCAUUGGAUAGCGAAGAGAGAAAGAAAAGUGAACCAAAGUACACAAGUCAAGAGAACAAAGAAGAGAACACAGAGGCGAUCAACAAAAGUAAACUCAAAUAUGUAGAUAAUAGGAAUAUUGGCAAACGGAAGGAUCAUGAGAGGAACGGAUUCUUAUAUGAGAAUGGAUCUAGGCUAAACAAGAUACAUAAGCCAGUUGCUUCACCAGUGUCAUCCGUAGAGAACGGAAGAAACUUGGGAGCAUAUCAAACUCCUCCGAAGCCUGUUACUGAGUUGCAAGAAACAGUGUGUAAUCCAGAGGUCAAUGAGCAUAGAGUAAACGGUUUCAUUGAUCCUCAAAAACACAAAAGCCACUGUUCAGCUAUUUCAAACGGUGAGGCAUCAGC